rnacentral:lncRNA from 1 species
AUGGUCAACAAAAACACGGCGUUUAUGGAGUAGGCAGUGAACUUUUGUUUCACCAACAGGAAAGCAAACCCCGCCGUGAAAGCCAACUGCGACGCGAUGAUCAAAGAAGAAGUCGAAACGGGGAGACGAGAUAAGCCAUAGGAGUAGAGGUAGUUAUCGAGGCCACUGAGGAUCCCGAGGACGAUAGCGGCAACGAACAACGGUCGUUCCAUACAGAUAAGCUUGUUUUCCGAGGUGGGAUUGGCCGUCCUGGAACGAUGCACGUAAGCACAAGCGAUGGGGAGCAAGAUGAUGGGGCAACCCGCGGUCUGGAGCCAGCUCGAGAACCAGAUCCGGUUCCCACCAUGGAUGAAGUAGAGACGGGCGAUAAGUGGAGCACCGCAGUUGCCUAUAGAAAGGAUGAUGCAGUUUAUUAUUAAGAGAGCUUUUCUUAUGGUGCCACCAUCCUUCACGUUCAUGAUUAAAUUCUCUGUUUUGUAUUUGGAUAUUUUUGCAUCUCCUUCCUCUGUUUUCAAGGUGUUUGUAGAAUGGAAGAAAGCCGAAGUAAGGAUAAGACAACCAUAUAGGUGCUAUUAUCCAACUCGUUAUAUUAAAUUCCAUAAUUUACGUGCAUUUCGAAGCAACUAUAAGUAUUGUAAUCUAUGAUAUAGAUUGUUAUUAUAAGGUUGAAACAUGGGAUCGAUACCUCAUUUGAUUUUUUUUAAAAACUAUUUUCGUGCAAAAAGGGGUUUUAAGACUUGUAGUUCAAAGAAAAAAUUCAUUCUGAAUCAAUUCGAUUCAUCCAGUGUUUAUCAAAGAGGGUCAGAGAAUUUUAUUGUUGAUGCAACGUCUAACAAACAUUCCAUAACUGUUGGUCUUCAUCAGCUCUCAAUAACAGCCAUGAAAUAUUGCGGUCGGGAUACUAAUAGCUGCAUUUGCAUUAUCCACUCAACUCAGCAAAUUCAUUUCGUUUCAAUGUUGAAAUUUUUUAACACUACUUAGGCACUGAAUAUACAGUUGAACACUAACUAUUUUAUGCUGCAAUUGUUCAAAACAUUAUAUUACAUGGUAGCAUUAAAGAGGUUCUUUUUGUGUACAUUGAAGUCAUCUUUUAACUAAUUUUGUCUUGUCUUAGUAUUGUAUCUAAGUACCAUCUAUAAAUACCUUCACUUGCCACUAAGAUGAGUGUCCAUUAUUGCAAUUUAAAAAUUUUAAAAAUUUAACAAAAUUCAAAUGAGAUAAAAACAGAGGUGUUAUGGGACAAAGUUAGGUCCGGUUUAAAAAAAUUAUAAGAAAAUAAAAAAAAACUUUUAUAAACAAAAAAAAAAUCAAAAUACACAUAAAACUUAAAAAAAUAAUUCAAAAAAACAAAAAAGAACAUAUUAAAAAUUGAUAGGUGAUGAUGAAGAAGUUUAAGGAUCUGAUCCACAAAGUUGAAUUUUCUUUUUAUUACAAAAUAUCACUGAUUUAACUUGACCAACAAAUGACCUAAGCUAAAUACUAGAAUAUAAAUAUCAACCUCCGCUUCAUGCGGAUGACCCUUGGUCCCAUUAAAAUAUUUCUUACGUUGACCGAUUAUUUAACUGUGAGUCUUCAGCACCGGUCAAAUACCACUGUCUUUUUUAAUAUUAUAUAUAUUGAUUAAAAAAUAAAUUUGAAAAUAUUUCUUAUAAAAUUCAAAAUAAUACAUAAAAGAUGGUAAAUGUUUUAAAAAUGAAAAAAGUAAAUAAAUUUAACUUUUUUCUUUGUAUGGGGUUGGCGUUGACUCUUGUUGUCUCCUCCGGCCAGCAGUCGUGGAUCCACCAGCUCGCCCCGAAUUACGUGGUGGGUGACAUUUUUGGGAAGAACUGCACCUCAUCCAAUCCCUCAAUAGGUAAAUAGUUCUGGGAUUAGAAUCCUAAUUUGUUUUUGAGGGUUUAGUUAGGCCAGCUUUGGAAGAGGGGAAGAGUAACAAUAAAUCUAAUAAAAAGUUUCGAUUUCACCACUUUUCUGGGUUUCUUUUUUCUUUUCGAGAGGGAAAAGUACAAGUGAAAUGAAAAUAUUUAUUAAAUGUUUUGAAAAUUUGUUUUAUAUUUUUUCUGGUUAUUUUAAUUGGGAUAAAAUUGAGAUUUUUUUAGAAUCAUCAACAAACUAAAAAUAUUGAAACUCCCACAACAUCUCAUGUUGCAAAGUUUAACGGUAAGUAACAGUUUAUAAUUUUUUUAAUGGGUGGGUGACCUACCCAGUAGAUUCACGAAGCAUAUUUUAUUUAGUUGUCUUUAUGCAUAACUAAAGAUAAAAAAUAAAAAAAAUGUUAUAUCAUGAUUUAUCAUUAAAUUAUAUUCGUCUUCUUCUUAUUUGGUCUUAUUUCGAUAACUAAAUUAUCUUUUUCUUAUAGUCGUUUUUUAAAAUUUUAGAUUUUCUUUUCUUUUCUUUUUUUAAUAAUUAAAGAUUAAUAUGAGAUCCAUACUUCAAUUUAACCGAAGUGAAUCGCCAAUAUGCCUGUAAAUUCCAAAAUGGAGAAUUUAGAAUGUAAUGAAUAGUCAUGACAAGGACACCAUGGCAAAGGCCAUUUUCUUAUCCAACUAUGCUAUCCUAUAAACAACUAAUGGCCAACCAAAGUUGCCAUAAACAACUAAUUGUGGGGAUUACGAUGACAACAAAAUUCUUCUUACUUCUUUCCCCUCUCUAAUAUUUUCUUAAUUUUACAUCUUAAGUGCCAAUCACUUUUUAUUUUGCUACUUAAAAUGUGCUUCUAUUAUAUUUUUAAAUUAUUUUAUGAUAGACGUUAAAAUUUUUUUAUAAUCAAUCAUAAAGUCAUGUGACAUCUUUAUAUAAAAAAAUAAAUAUCUUUUAUUAAAUGUAUAUAAACAUUAAAAUAUAUAAAAAUGGAAAUUAAUAUAAUCUGAAAAAAAAGAUAUAAAUUAUAAAUAAUUUAUAAAAAAAUAUAAAAUUUACAAAAAAAAUACGAUAAAUAAAAAUAAAUUAGUUGAAAUUAAUGAUAUUAUUAUAAAAAAUUAUAAUUUUUUAAUUUUUUAUAUAAUUAUAAAAUUCUAAAAUUGUAUUUCAGUUUCAAGGGUUUUUUUUUUAAAUUACUUGAAAUUUAAAUACAUCUUUCAUUUUUAUAACAUUUAUCAACUUUUAUAUAUUAUUUUGAAUUUUAAAUAUGUAUACUUUUAUAUUUUAGAAUUUUAUAAAAAAAAUAUUUUUAAACUUUUAUUUUAAUUUUUUAUAUAUUAUAUAUGACAUAUAAUGCACUAAAAUAUAUUAUGUGUAAAUAUUUUAUAUAUAAAAAUAUUAGUUAAUAAAAUAUAUAUUUUUAAUUUAAAUAUAAUAAAACCGCACAUUUCUAAAUAAGUAUUACUUUUACACCAUUAUCUAUAAUAUAUACAAAAGCAUGAGUUUAGAAAAACUUUUGAAUUGAGGAGAAUAUCAGUUAUUUUCUAUAAUAUUAAUAAAUUAACUUUAAAAAUAAUUAUAUCUUAAUUUAGAAUUAUUAGUUAAAAGGUUGUGCUAAUUUUAAAAUAGAGUUAUUACUUGAAUAGGGCACUAAGCAUAACACAAUAAAAAUUUUGUGAUAAUUAUAAUUAUAAUUUAAUUUAAUCUACAAUUAUUAGUUACAAAAUUUUGACAGUAAAAAAAUUGUGCUAAUUUUAUUAUUGUAAAUAGAAUUAUUACCAAUUAAAGUUUAUAUUUAGCUUUAUAAUAACAUUCAGCAUAUUCAAUCAAAAUAUGGUGAUUUCUUUCUUUAAAGAGUUUGAUGUUGUUUUGAAUGGGCUUGGUAACUUAAAUGCAAGGCGCCAUGUAAACCAUCUUUACUUGGUGGAUGAUAUCCCAUUGGUUGAAAGUGGGAGCACAAGGUUUUGGUUUUAACUAGGUUGCUCAUAUUCAUGCUUCAUCCUGUUUUUCUUUAUGCGAUAUAAAUUCACACAAUUUGCUUUGAUUUUCGUACUAUAUAAACUAUAAUCUUGAGUUGGACUAUUUUAUGCAAGCAAAUAGUUCCUACAACUCAAUCCUAAAGCAGAUGACCUAUGAGUAGCAUCGUAGUUUCUGUUUGUACAUUUUUUUUUUUAUGAAACUAGCUAUGAACUGAAUCCCCAUAAAAGAACUAAUAGCCAACCAAACUUAGCACUUGGAAUUUGUUAGGGAUGACUAUGAUCACCAACCCUUAAACACUGCUUUUGAGAGUAUUGGGAAGCAGAGAAGAGGCCAUCUCGGUUUCAGGAUCUGGUUUCUUCUUUUUACUUUGCUUGAUUUCACCAUAAAAGUAGGAAAUGAAGCCCCACAGCGAGAGAGCAAGUGACACACCCUUCUCGGCUUGAAACUUCUCAUUGAAGAAAAAUACUGCCAGAAUCUCUGUAACUGGUAAUAGAACCGCAAUCACUACAGCCGAUAGCAAUGAUGACGCACAAAACACUACUCCAAUUGCUCCCAAGAAGAAACAUUGAUUUAUUAUUGCACUAAAAAUCACAACCACAUGGUAUUUUGUUUCUCCUAGCUCGAAUUCCCUUGCUUCCCUUCCGAUCACCUGCAAAUAAAAAUAACCUUUCAAGUUUUUACGUACUUGUUCAUUGUAGUUAUAGAAUGAAAUCAUUAUAUUAAAUAAAACCUCUUUAAUCAAGAUUAAUAAACUCGGCUUCAGUUUCCUUCUAAAAAAAGGGUUUAUCAUCAUAGCUAGUUGUCGAUACUUUAUUAUUUCAUACCCUAUAGCUCAAUUAUGUGGAUUUCAUCAAUUAACAAAUUUAAUUAAUUAUUAAACUUUUAAAUUAUAUUUAUUUUUAAACGUUGUGAUUUUCUUUUUCUAUUAAAUUUUGAAAAAAGAAUCAAACUAUAAUGUUAUAAUCAAAAUAUAAAAUAGUUAAAAAAUUAAAAAAAAAAAAACUAUUUCAUCAGACUUCACUCAUUUGUCCUGUAAGAAGAGGAAUAGCUAAGAAAGAGACGAAAAAACAAACCUUGAAAUCAUUGUUGACCAGCAUCCCAACGGUGCAAAAGCCAGUAGCAACCAAACACAUCACCAACUGAAUCUCCAUCACAAGGGCGUAGCUAAUCUCUUGCUUUGCCUUCUUGUACGUUAGUUCCACCAAUGGCAAUAUAAAUCCGUACAAAGCCGCUGCAGCUAAGGUCAUUACGAACCCCAAAAUAUAUUCCUUGUUGGAUUCAUUCGCAGGCCGGUCGCUGCUCGAAUGCAAAGCCAGAACGCCAGCCCCUAUGGUCAACAAAAACACGGCGUUUACGGAGUAGGCAGUGAACUUUUGUUUCACCAACAGGAAAGCAAACCCCGCCGUGAAAGCCAACUGCGACGCGAUGAUCAAAGAAGAAGUCGAAACGGGGAGACGAGAUAAGCCAUAGGAGUAGAGGUAGUUAUCGAGGCCACUGAGGAUCCCGAGGACGAUAGCGGCAACGAACAACGGUCGUUCCAUACAGAUAAGCUUGUUUUCCGAGGUGGGAUUGGCCGUCCUGGAACGAUGCACGGUUGCACAAGCGAUGGGGAGCAAGAUGAUGGGGCAACCCGCGGUCUGGAGCCAGCUCGAGAACCAGAUUCGGUUGCCACCAUGGAUGAAGUAGAGGCGCAUGAUAAGUGGACUACCGCAGUUGCCUAUUGAAAGCAUGAUGCAGUUUAUUACUAGGAGAGCUUUUCUCAUGGUGGUGCCAUCAUGUUUAGGUUCCUUCACCUCCAUCUGUUCUGUAUUUGGAUUUUUUGCAUCUCCUUCCUCCAUUUCCAAGCUAUUUGUAACAGAAUUUAUCAAAGAAACAGAGGUCAAUUACAUGUACGGAAAAAGCUAGAGUUAGCAGAAUUUAGCAUGUAAUGAAUAGUUAUUACAUGGAGACUAUGGCAAAGGCCAUUUUCUUAUCCAUGUAUCCAUGAAAUGAAUUCCUAUAAACAACUAAUAGCCAAUCAAAUUGCCAUGAACAACUGUUGGGGAUUAGGGAUUACGAUGAAAACGCAAUUCUACUGUGCCUCUUUUUUUGUCUACCAAUUCGUGAUUUCGCUUUUGGAGAAUAUUUAUUUUUUCAUUUUGGUAUUGAUUUUUUUUAAAUUUUAUAUCUAAAUUCUAAUCACUCUUUAAUUUGGUACCUAAAGUAAUCUUAUGACCAAUCACAAAGUGACAUGUGACGUCUUUAUGUAAAAAAACAAAUUUUUUUAUUAAAUGUAUACAAUUAUUAGAAUAUAUAAAAAAUUAGAAAUAUAUAAUCUAAAAAACAUAUAAUUUAUAAAUAAUUUAUAAAAAAAUAAAAAUUACAAAAAAAAUACUAUAAUUGAAAAAAAAAAGUUGAAAUUAAUGAUACUAUUACAAAAAAUGUAAAAGAAAUUAUAAAUUUUUAAUUUUUUUAUAUAAUUACAAAAUUGUAUUUCAAUUUCAAGGUUUUUUUUUUUGCAAUUACUUGAAAUUUAAAUACCUUUUUCAUUUUUAUAACAUUUUUCAAUUUUUUUAUAUAUUAUUUUGACUUUUAAAUAUUUAUAAGUUUAUAUUUUAGAAUUUUAUAAAAAAUAUUUUAAAACUUUUAUUUUAAUUUUUUUAUAUAUCAUAUAUGAUUUUUUUACAUUUUUAUCAAUAUAAUACAUAAUAUUAAAAAAAUAAAAAAGGACAUGUAGUAUUCUAAUAGUGCCACAUAGCCGGUCAACACUAGUCAACUCCAAUCAACAAUCGAUUAAAGUCAAUUGAUUUUUGGUUGACCAAAUGUUGACCGGUGUUGACUAGCAUGGAUCGGGCUUUGACCAGUAUGUGGCACUAUUAGAAUACAACAUGUGUCCUUUUUUAAUUUUUUUAAUAUUAUAUAUUAUAUGGAUUAAAAUGUAAAAAAUCAUAUAAUAUAUAUAAUUAAAAAAGGUAUUUAAAUUUCAAGUAAUUGUAAAAAAAACUUGAAAUUUAAAUAUUUUUUAGAAUUUUAGAAUUAUAUAUUUUAAAAUUUUAUAAAAAAAUUAUUUAAAGGCUACUUUGGCUACCGAAAUGGCCUAGAAAAAUCGUUUAAUUUCGUAAACUUUUACUUGUCUGAUUUUCUUUUAAAAAAACUUAUGAGUCAAAAACGUCCAAUUAUUAAGUCAAAUAAAUUUAGAGUCCAGUUUAUUAAAAAUCAUGUCAUUUGAAAAAUUCGUAUGAUAUUGUCAAUUAGCUUUUUAUUUUUGAAAAAAAAAAUCCUAUUUCAUUGUUGCGCAAUAAAAAAAGUGAAACAUUUAGUUUUAUACGAAAAAUCGUGUUUUAUGCCAUAUUAAGCCAGUUAUUAGGGAUAUUCGAUUUUUAACAAAAUUCCAUACAUGCAAAAUCUCAAUAAAAAACAAUCUCAUGCCACAAUCCAAAAUUAAUAAAAUUACAGUCCCAAUAAAAACCAUAAUAAAAAAAGUAGAAUUUAAAUUUGCUUUAUCAAUUAAAAACCGAGAUGACACCUCUAAAUGUUAGGUCCGACCUUAACCUCGAGGGUUAUCUGUAAGGAUAAAGCUAUUAGGGUGAGCUUUAAAAAGCUCAGUUUGAAUCUUCACAGAAUAAAUAAUGUAUCUACAUGCAGACAGUCAAAUUACAAUAAAACGUAUAUCCAACAACAUUCCUGAGAUCAUAGUAGAGCACGACAUCAUAAAAAUACAAUUUUAUAUGCGUGGACAUGCUCAUAUGAAACAGUGCAAAAAUUUCUACCCAUUCAUCCGCUACACACCAUGAGUUCCCUAGAACUCAUCAUCCGAACACCAAAACAAUAAGAGUCGUAGCUCAAUGUGGAUAAAACACCAGUAAGAAUUUGUAGUUAAACUGCCAGUAAUUUUGCAGACAAGCUACCAGUAAGUUACGGAUAAACCGCCAGUACUUCGAACAAUACUUCAGGGUUGCAGAUUAAUUGCUAGUAUAAUAUUGCGGAUAAACAGCCAGUACUCCACGGAAUUCCUCCGUCACCCAUCAAUCCUAAUCCCUAUGCAAUGCGACAUGUCAUAUGAAUAAUGUAGCAAAUCAUGCUCAUCAAUAUUAAUUUCAAUAACGGCGGCAUACUUAACAUGCAUUGAGUAAUACAGUAUCGGUGGCAUGCUUUACAUGCAAUCAAUAUGUACGUUAAUAUUCAGUGGCAUGCUUACAUGCAAUCAAUAUACGGUAAUAUUUAUUGGCAUGCUUACAUGCAAUCAAUAUACGAUAACAGUCAAUGACAUGCUUUACAUGCAGAUUAUUUGCUAGUAUAAUAUUGUAGAUAAACAACCAGUACUUCACGGAAUUCCUCCGUCACCCAUCAAUCCUAAUCUCGAUGCAAUGUGACAUGUCAUAUCAAUAAUGUAGCAAAUCAUGCUCAUCAAUAUCAAUUUCAAUAACGGUGGCAUGCUUAACAUGCAUUCAGUAUAUAAUACAGUAUCGGUGGCAUGCUUUACAUGCAAUCAAUAUGUAUGGUAAUAUUCAAUGGCAUGCUUACUAUAACAGCUCGUUUUUAGUGAAAUCGGAACAGUGGUUUUGGGAUCCCAAAUCCGAAGUCGUAAAAAUCAUUUUAAUAUUAUUUUAAUAUAUACAACAUGAUAAUAUGAUAGUAUAAAAAUUUCGUUAAGAAAUUUUACCAUUUGUAUACUCAAUUUGUGAAAAAAAAACUAAAUCGCGUAAAGUGCGAAAGUUGUGUUCUAAUAGCUAAAGGUGUUAAAUAGCUAUAGAACUUUAAAGUGGAGGUCCUUAUGUGGUAAUUAGACCAUUAGAUGAGUUAGUGGAUGUGCAUGGCUUGGUAUUUGAGUAAUUUUUAAAGUUAGGUAAGGGUAAAAUGGUAAUUAAGUAAUUAAAUGUUAAAUUAAAUAAAACAAAACAAAUGGCCAUCCUUCUCUUUCAUUUAUCCAUUGAAAUUUUUAGCAAAAAGCUUUGGAAAGCUUGAAUUUUUCAGCCACAAAACCACUUGCAUAUAAGUGCUAUCUCAUCCCAUUUUUGUUGAUUUUUAUGUUUUUGGGAUCGUUGUAGCUUAACCUAACUAACUAGGGGACUAAUUUUCAAAACUAUUAAAUAGUUUGAGAUUUUCCAUUAAUGAAAAUGCUAGGGUUUGAAGUUUAAUGGAAGAAAAUGAAUCCUUUUUGUUAAUUAAACAACUAUUGUUAAGUGAGUUUUGAUAAAAUUGUCAAUUAAGGAUUAAAUUGAGAAAUAUGUAAAUUGAGUGUAAAUAUGUGAAUUUGUGAAAUGUAUGGGCUGAUAUAGGUACUUAUGAAAUUCGGCUAGGCUCGGUUUGUAGUGAAAUUUCAUGAAUUUCAUUUUGCGAGCCUAGGGACUAACUUGUAAAAAAGGUCAAAAGUAUAGGGGCUAAACGGUAAUUUUUCCAUAACAUGAAAUUUGGAUUAAAUUGAUUAGAAUAUUGAUUAAAUGAGUUAAAUUUGAUUAUAUAGAUCAAGAAAGGUAACAUUCGAAACUAUAUCGGGGAAAGGAUAAAGUCGUGGAAUAAACGAUCGUAUUUCUCCGUUCGAGUUUGAGGUAAGUUCUUAUAGAUAAAUUACGUAUUUAUAUGUUUUGAUUGAAAUAUAUGUAUGUGAAUAGUUUAAUUAUUAUGUAUAAUUAUUGAGCCCAUAACCGACGAUAUACGAAUAAUAUCGGGCCCCAUUUGAACCUUAGAAAUUCGUAGGAUACAAAUGACAUGUCAUUAGAGUUACCGUUUUGGGUGAGGUCUUGCAUGUGUUGCUGACUCACCACAACUCGUAUGAGCUUAUCGGUUUGCAGCUCGUAUGAGCUUACUGAUAUUCAACUCGGAGGAGCUUACCGUUUAUACUCGUAUGAGCUUACCAAUUUGCAGCUCAUAUGAGCUUACUGAUAUUCAGCUCGGAGGAGCUUACCGUUUAUCGCUAGUAUGAGCCUACAUGUUCAGGAAUUGACAGAUUACAGUUUAGUAAACCUCGUGUGUACUACCCGCGUAUCUAACGAGAUUCUAAGUGGUUUAAUAGGCGUAGUGUAUUACGAGAUUAUAUAAGUUCGAUGCGAACUAUUACAGGUGGUUACAUGGAGAUGGUUUAUAUAUUUGAUAUACGGAUAUACAAUAUAAAUAUUACAUGUACAUGGAAUUCUAAUAAUUUUUUGAAUUCAUACAUGAUUCUCGGUUUUAUAUGUAUACAUGGCUAACUUGGUGAAUGGUUAUGUGAGAGGCUUUCACCAAAUUGAAUUGAGUUACUUGCCUAAAAUUUUGGUUAUAUGGUAAGUUUAAUUCUAUGUUUUACAAACUUACUAAGCUUAAUUGCUUACUCCGUUUAUUUUUCCGUGUUUUAUAAUGUCUCGAAAGCUCAUUCGGAUUGGAAGUCGUCAAUGAUCGCAUCACACUAUCAAACACUCAUUUUGGUACUUUGGACUAUAUAUAUUUUGGUUAAAUGGCAUAUAUAGGUGUUUUGCCUAAUGUAGCCUAUAUGUCGUGUUUUGGUAAUUUAAUUUGGCUUAAAAAUGGUAUAUGUUUGGUUAUGUAAAUAUGUAUAAAUAACUUUAUGGUAUGUGGUGUAUAGUUGUUAUGUGAAUGCCUUGUUUGUGAAUUGGUAUUUUGGGUACCAAAUGAUUGAAAUUGAGAUGUGAUAGGCAUGUUGAAUUUAGGCACAAUGUCUCAUAUGUGAGUUUGACCAGUUAGGUAUAUUUUGGAAGUGUGAUUCGUAUGUUUCAAAGUGGUCAAUAGAUGUGAUUAUGGAUAUCAUGUUGUAUGUGUGGAUAUUACAUGUUAUAAACUUGGUAUUGAUUGGUUUUGAAUGCUUAUUUAUGCCAUGGUUGUAUGUGCAUUGUUGAGCUUAGGUUGGUACCACAUUGGGUGAGAAAUAUGGCUUGGAAAAUGACCUAUUUUUGUCUACACAGGCAGAGACAUGGGCAUGUGUCUCAGCCGUGUGUGACACACGGGCACGUGACACGACUGUAUGUCCCCUGAUACUUCUAUAGAAAUCAAGUUAGUAGCUUCAUACGACCUAGCACACGGGUGUGUAGCUUGGCCGUGUGGUACAAGUCAAUAUACCUUCCAAUUUUCACACUGCCGAGCACAUUACCUGGCACACAGGCGCGUGAGGCCAUUACGAAGGGUACACGGCCUGGCACACGAGCGUGUGGGUUUGCCGUGUGACCCAAGUCAGUGAGUUACACGAGGUCAGACACGGACUGAGACACGACCGUGUGAUCCCACUUCGAAUGCCCACACGGCCUAAGAUACAGGCAUGUCUCACACGUGGCCACACGGGCGUGUCCCCUGUCCUUAAAAAAAUUUUCAUGUUUUUCUAAAAAUUUCUUAAGUACUUGGUUUAGUCUCGAACCACUUUUAAUGUCUAUUUAGGGCCUCAAGGGCUCAUAUCAGAGACUAUAUGAAUGAAAUUGAAUGGUUUUUUGUUUGGAAUGAGAUAUGAAUAUGAAAUGUAUGAUUGUUUGAGUUAUAAGUUCGGUAAUGCUUCGUAACCCUAUUCUGAGGUCGGAUACUAGUUAGGGGUGUUACACUUACAUGUAAGCAAUAUACGGUAAUAUUUAUUGGCAUGCUUACAUGCAAUCAAUAUAUGAUAACAAUCAAUAACAUGCUUUACAUGCAAUUAAUUUAACAAUAACAAUAAACAUGCUAUAAGACAAGUAAUAACAGUGGAAAUUAACCAAUUUCAUCAAUCAUACAAUCGACUUUAAUCUUUAUAGCACUUACACAUUUGGAUAGACACGUCUAAGGCCCUAGAACAUUCUACCAAUAGCAAUUAGGGCACCUAUUGCAUUUGGCCAAGCCGCCUUACCACUUACUAGAUUCGACCAACCUCAUGGGUGUCUUUAGGCCAUUUGACUAUCACCCAAAUAACACAUACAACGCAUGCUUUUAGCAAUCAUCAAUACAAAAAUUUAGGACCCGCACUUAAAUAACGAAAUCCGAAGCACUAUCGCUAAUCAGUAGUUCCUAAGUUUCAAAUCUGACUAAAUCUAGUUCAAAUCUGUACCUAACACAAAGAAAUACUUGUUAAAAAUUAGCCCGUGAUCCCCCUAUAGGGUUCGGGCAGAUCAGAGAAAAAAUGGUGACUAUUCAAAUUUGAUUUUGGAGUUAACUUACUCUUUUGCUGAUUUAACAGGUGAUGUGUUCGGCCUUCUUAUGAUAUCACUGACGAUUUGAGACGUUUAGAUCUAAACCUUCCACAAAUUAAACACAAAAGAAAACAUGUGAGAAUUGGCCAAAAAUGGAUGGUAGAUUCGACCACAAUAAAUAAAGAAGAAGAAAAAAGGGAAAAACAAAACAAAAAGAGAAUGAGAGGUUAUUAAUGGACGACGGCAACAAUGGUGACCAACUAAUAAAGUGACGACAACAGUGAGAAAAUGGGAGAGUAGAGAGGCAGCAACAAUGGAGAAUCAAUAGCAAAAGAAAGAAAAUGAGGACGAGAGGAGAAAUGAGAAGGGGGACAGAAAAGAGAAGAGGAAAAAUGACCAAAAGAGGCUGAAUAGAAAAAUAAAAUACUGUUUAUACCUAGGGUUACAGCAUGGGACGGCACAACUAGGGUUUUUGCCAAAAAUACAGAAAAUAAAAAUUAUACAAGGGAAGGGAUUCAAACUCGAGUUUUGAAGAUAAUUUCACUAAUACUUAACCAUCAUAUCAGCAACUCAUUUAUAUUCAAUUACAAAAGAUAACAGUAAAAUUAGGGUGUGACAAAUGAUGUCCCAUUGGUUGAAAAUGGGAGCACAAGGUUCUGGUUUUAACUAGGUUUCCUUUCUAGGUUGCUUAUAUUCAUGCUUCAUCUAAUUUUUCUUGAUGCAAUUACAAAUUCACACAAUUUGCUUUGAUUUAUAUGCUAUAUAACCUAUAAUAUUAUGUAAUACCCCCUACCUGUAUUCGUCGCCGAAAUGGGGUAUGAGGCAUUACCAGAUUUUACAGAAAAAAUUUUCAUUAUUACGAGUUAAAUACUAUUCAUUUAUCAAAACAUGUCAUGACGUCCCUUGGUUGGGCCUCCGAAGCCCAAAACAUACAUCGGGACCAAAUCGGGAUUAAAUCGAAACCAUAAGAAAUUUUUCGCAAAAUCCCAAAGUUUUUUUUUAACUCAAUAUAACUCCUUUAUAAGUAUCUAAUCUUCCCUGCAAUUUUAAACCGAGACCAAUCCAACACAACCAAUCCAUUUCAAUAUAUUUUCAAGAUAGAUUUAACGUAUUCAUAAGAUAACCUCAUCACAUACCAAGACCAAAAUUUGUUAGCCAUACCAAUGGCUAACCAUACAUUCAUUUCACAUUAACAUUUACUUUAUUAGCUUAUACAUGCUAUUGAUUUCCAAAAUAAAGUUUCUUUAUAUACCGAGAUCUUAAGGUUGAUAGUGUGAUGUGUCUCCGACCAAAUCCGACCUCCGAGCUCUUAACACUACAAAACAGGGGAAAAGGAAACAGGGUAAGCACUUUGUGCUUAGUAAGCUCAUGUAAUAGGAAUUAUACUUACCUAAUAUUUUCAAUACAAUGCAAUAAACAUUCAUACAUCCAUUCAAUACAUUAUUCCCCUAACAUGCACAAACUCAACAUUUAAGUUAGUUCAAUAAUUCCAUGUAUCAAUAAUAUAUAUAUCACGAUUGAUGAGCUUAUCAAUACCAUGAUUUUCAUUCCCUUGUUAUUUUUCCAUAUUUAUCCUGUUGAACUUCUUGGAAUUUCGAUGGAUUUUCAGGGGUACACUUUAGUGUACAAAUUCUAGUCNNNNNNNNNNNNNNNNNNNNNNNNNNNNNNNNNNNNNNNNNNNNNNNNNNNNNNNNNNNNNNNNNNNNNNNNNNNNNNNNNNNNNNNNNNNNNNNNNNNNCAUAUUCAUGUGCGCACAUUUCCAUUUCAGAGAGCACACUCCCGCGAACCUCAUCCUUACAGCGGGAUUACCAGUCCAGGCUAAAUCCCCUGUAAUAUAAACUUAUACAGUAUUGUCGGGAUUACCAGUCUAGGCUAAAUCCCCUGCAACGACAAUUACUCUAAUGAGCUUGGAUCUGAAUUACCAGUCCAGGCUAAAUUCAGACCCUAAUUCGGAUUACCCGUCCGGGAUGAAUCCAUUUUCCACAUAUUCUUCGGGAGGGCUAUAUCAGAAUAGGAUCACCCAUCCGGGCUAGAUCCUUUUUACCGUCAAUUCCUUUUCAGAGAUUCAUCGAAUUUUCCUUCCAUUCAACCGGGAUUUAUUUUCUCUUUUCAUCAAGAAUAUCAAUACUUCAUCAAUUAUCAUACAAUAAACAUCCAAAUCAUAUUCACAUCAAGAAAAUAUAUUUCAAGCAUUUAAGAAUAUAAUUCAAGUUACAUGAACUUACCUCGAUACUUGUUCGUAAACAAAAAUCUACUAAUCCCGAACUUUUUCUUUUCCUCGAUCUAGCUUCGUAUUUGAAUUUUCUGGAUCUAAAUAAAUAAAUUUAAUCAUUAAUCUAAUACAUUUCAUGUUCAUAUGUAACAUUCUCUAUAAUUCCAUUAUUAUUUAUAGUUCAUUCAAAGUUAUCUUAUUGAGUCAUAGUCAUUAAAUUAUUUAUAUCUUGAGAUACGGAACUCCAAAUUAAGAUCCGCUAAUUUUUCCUAAAACUAGACUCAUAUAUCUUCUUACCAUAAAAUUUUUAGAAUUUUUGGUUUAGCCAAUAAGUACAGUUUAUUCUUUAAAGUUUCCCAUGUUUCACUAUUCGACAGUUCCGACCCCUCUUCACUAAAAAUUAAUUAUCUCAUUGUAAAGAAUUCAGAUGAUGUUCUUGUUUGUUUAUUUUGAAAAUAUACUCAUUAAGUAUUUUAAACAUAUAAAUUUAAGCUCCUAGUUAUUUUUCUCCAAUUUUUGAUGAUUUUCCAAAGUCAGAACAGGGGAACCCGAAUUCAUUCUGACCUUGUCUCACAAAAUCUAUUAUAUCUCAUGAUUUACAAUUCCAUUACUUACAUCGUUUCUUUUAUAAGAAACUAGACUCAAUAAGAUUUAAUUUAAUAUUUUAUUCAUCCUAUAAUUAGAUCUCUACAAUUUUUGGUGAUUUUUCAAAGUUAGACUACUGUUGUUGUCCAAAACUGUUUUAGUGCAUGAUGUUAAUUACCAUUUUUCCUUAAGCUUUCAAUAAAUGAUAAUUUCAUCCCUGCUCAAUUUACCUCUCAAUUGAGCUGGUUUUUCUCAACCAGCACUUUAUUCUAUCACUUUAAACUAUUUUAUAACCUUUGUAAAUCAGAAUUUUAGCACUAGACUUUAAUUCCAAACCUUUUCACAAUUAGGUCCUGCAAAUCAAUUUCUAUUGAAAUUACCUAAUAAAAUAAUCUCAUAAAUAAAUUAAAGCUUCAAUUUCAUGCUAUUUCAUCAUAAAAUUCCAGAACAUAUUCAUAGCAACUUUCAAUUUCAUUCAUAAAAUCAAAAACUAAUGAAUUUAGUAAUAGGACCUAGUUGUAAAAGUCUUAGAAACACAAAAAUUACAAGAAAAAGGCAAGGAUUAACUCACUUGGUGCAAAAAUUAUGAAAAACCAGCUUGAAUAAACCCUUAGGACGUUUUUGGCUGAUGAGAAUGCAGAAAAAUAAAGAGAAUUCUAGAUAUUCCAAUUUGGUCCCAUUUUUAUGUUAGUAAAAUAUGUUAUUUUCCCAUUUUACCCUUAUUUCACCAAUUCUCCUGAUUUUUCUCAGCUUAUGCCGCCAAAAAUAUCUCCUUUUGGGCUUAUUUUCAAUUUAUGUCCCUCCUCAUUUAACAAUUGAGCUAUUUCAUCUUUCUAGUAACUUUUACCCCUUUUUCAAUUUAGUCCUUUUCACUUAAUUGACUACCCAAAUAUUAAAAUUUUCUAACGAAAUUUUAAUACCAUAUUACUAACACUUCAUAAAUAUUUAUAAAAAUAUUUCCGACUCAGUUUUACAAGGUCGAGGUCUCGAUACCUUGUUUUUACCUAAUUUCUUUAAUAAUUUCUUUUUCUAACUAACCACUAAAUCGAUAAAAUUCUUCUAUCUAUAUUUUUAUACGAUUUUCCUAUCAUAUCAAUAUUCAUGCAAAAAUAUUAAAAUAAAUUUAUCUUUAAAUCGGAUUUGUGGCUACGAAACCACUGUUCCGAAAACCUUGAAUUUAGGCCAUUACAUAUUAAGUUUGACUAUUUUAUGCAAGCAAAUAGGUACUUAUUGAAGGAACUCAAUCCUAGAGCAAGUGACCUAAGAGUAGCAUCAUAGUUUUUGUUUGCACAAAGUUUGUUUCUCUUAAUAAAUUCUAUUGAAGGCUUCAUAAAAUAUUAUAGAAAAAUAGGUCCGAUGCUAAUUUUAACUAUGCAGCGAGGUACCUCUAAAAUAUGCUUGAAAAGUUUUUUGUUUUUACUUUCUUCCAUUGGUAGAAAAGCAUUAUUGUUUUCCUAACAACAAUGGUACUAGGGAGUGAUCGAAGACAACAAUGGUAUUAAUAAGUGAUCGAAGAUUAACUUUAAUAGAUGAUGAUACUACAAUAUUAUGAUAUUAUUUUUUAAAAUUUUCUAUAAAUUUAUAUUGUGUGAAGCAAAUACUCUUAAAAUCGUUUGCUUUUUUAUUUAUAUGUUAUUUAUUAUUAAAUUUUAACAAUUAUUUUUUAAUCACUUGUUUAUUAAUUUAAUUUAAAUAUUUUUCAUAUUUAUCAUGAACUAUUAUUAUAGUUGGUGUAUGUUGUUUCACCCUUUUUAUUAUUUUCAAAUUGACAUUAUAAUUUACUUUCUCAUAUAUUUAUAAAUUUGUAUAUUAUUUAUAAACUAAGAGAAAUUAUUAUUAUCAAUCGUAGCAAUAAAAGUUCAUUAAAAAUUAAACAUGUAAUAACAUUAGAAAUUAAUUGAUUAAAGACACAUUAAUUAUUUAUAACUAUAAUCAACAUUAUCAUCUACACACCUUAAAUUAAUUAAAUUUAUUUAUUAACUAAUUUAUUAGAUUUAGUAUAACUGAUUUAUACAUUAAAUAAGCCCAUGUAUGGCCAGGCUAAUAUAUAUCAAUAGACACUAUGGCAUAGGGUAAGGUUAUUUUCUUAUGAAACUAGUUACGAACUCAAUCCCCAUAAAAAAAAAAAAAAAACUAAUAGCCAACCAAAGUUGGCACUUGAAAUUUGCUGGGGAUAACUAUAAUCACAACACUUAAACACUGCUUUCGAGAGUAUUGGGAGGCAAAGAAGAGGUUAUCUCAGUUUUAGGAUCUGGUUUCUUCCUUUUGCUUUGCUUGAUGUCACCAUAGAAGUAGGAAAGGAAGCUCCCCAACGAGAGAGCAAGUGACACACCCUUCUCGGCUUGAAACGUCUCAUUGAAGAAAAUUACUGCCAGAAGAGCUCUGUAACUGGUAAUAGAAACAAUACCACAAUUCCCGAUAGCAGUGAUGACGCACAAAAUACUACCAAGAAGAAACAUUGCCGUAUUAUUGCACUAGAAAUCACAACCACGUAGUAUUUUGUUUCUCCCAACUCAAAUUCCCUUGCUUCCCUUCCAACCACCUGCAAAUAGAAAUAACCUUUCAAGUUUCUACAUCAAUUAUGUGGAUUUCAACAAUUAACAAAUUUAAUUAAUUAUUAAACCUUUAAAUUAUAUUUAUUUUAAAAGUUUUUAAUGAAACGUUUUCUUUAUGUAUUAUUAUAAUUAACGGUAUGAGAGAGCAGAGAUUACACUCCCUAUCGUAAAAAUGAAUUUAGAUUUGGUUUUCUAAAAAUGGCAUGAAUUGAUAUACUAAAUAUAAAUUAGUUAAAAAUUAGUAAGAUUUAUAAAUUAAAAAAAAAAAACUAUUUCAGCAGACGUCACUCACUUGUCAUGUAAAGAAGAGGAAUAGCUAAGAAAGAGACGAAAAAACAAACCUUGAAAUCAUUGUUGAUCAGCAUCCCAACGGUGCCAAAGGCAGUAGCAACCAAACACAUCACCAACUGGGCGUAGCUGAUCUCUUGCUUUGCCUUCUUGUACGUUAGUUCCACCAAUGGCAAUAUAAAUCCGUACAAAGCCGAUGCAGCUAAGGUCAUUACGAACCCCGUAAUAUAUUCCCUGUUGGGCUCAUUCGCAGGCCGGUCGCUGCUCGAAUGCAAAGCCAAAACGCCAGCCCCUAUGGUCAACAAAAACACGGCGUUUAUGGAGUAGGCAGUGAACUUUUGUUUCACCAACAGGAAAUCAAACCCUGCCGUGAAAGCCAACUGCGACGCGAUGAUCAAAGAAGAAGUCGAAAUGGGGAGACGAGAUAAGCCAUAGGAGUAGAAGUAGUUAUCGAGGCCAGUGAUGAUCCCGAGGACGAUAGCGGCGAGGAACAACGGUCGUUCCAUGUAGAAAAGCUUGUUUUCCGAGGUGGGAUCGGCCGUCCUGGAACGAUGCAUGUAAGCACAAGCGAUGGGGAACAAGAUGAUGGGGCAACCCGCGGUUUCGAGCCAGCUCGAGAACCAGAUUCGGUUGCCACCAUGGAUGAAGUAGAGGCGCAUGAUAAGUGGACCACCGCAGUUGCCUAUUGAAAGGAUGAUGCAGUUUAUUACUAGGAGAGCUUUUCUCAUGGUGGUGCCAUC